rnacentral:snRNA from 1 species
CAGUGAUUUCAGCUCUUUUUGUAUUUGUCUAGUAGGCUUUCUGCUUUAGUGGAAAGCCUUU